CAAGUUCUCAACCGCGCGUGCGGCUUGGAAGUGGAUUUGCAGGUCUUUUAUGUUCUGCUCCUCUAAAAUGAAUUAGUGGUGGUCUAAUCCUACUAGUACAGGUGUGAUAAAACUUAUCUAUGCCUCUAGUAUCAUGUUGCCGCUUCUGAAUGAUGAAUAAGUUGGUGA
rnacentral:misc_RNA from 1 species